GCAAAUUCAUUUUUAUCAUCUUUAAGUGGUGGAGUGGCCAUUUCAGCUUGAAAUAUUUCACUGUCUUUAUAAUUUCAUUCCAUGCAUGUGUUUUGUGUUUGUGACGGUGUGGUGGUAUUUAGUCUAUAGAAGAACAUGUGGAGCAGGUCAACCAAAACUGCGUAGCAGAAGAUUGCCACAUCAAGGUUGAAGCUGAUCUGGGCUAUCCAGGUGGAAAGGCGAAAGUCAUCCAUAAGGAAUCUGAUAUGAUCAUGGCAUUUUCUGUUAAUAAGGCAAAUUGUAAUGAAAUUGUUUUGGCUUCAACACAUGAUGUUCAAGAACUUGAUGUUACUUCUCUACUGGCCUGUCAGUCAUACAUAUGGAUCGGAGAAGAAUAUGACAGAGAAUCCAAAAGUUCAGAUGAUGUUGAUUAUCGUGGUUCCACUACAACUCUUUAUCAACCCAGUGCAACAUCCUAUUCAGCAAGUCAGGUGCAUCCACCUUCAUCUCUGCCAUGGCUGGGCACUGGACAGACUAGCACUGGAGCUAGUGUGCUUAUGAAAAGGAAUCUACAUAAUGUUAAGAGAAUGACUUCACAC
rnacentral:sRNA from 1 species